CCAAAAAAUUAACCCUACACAACACACACUACAAACACGGCUUUUCAUAUUCCUUCUUACAGCUAGCAACUGCAAACUUCCCCUUUCUUACACCGUCAAAUUCGUUUCUUACAGUCACGAACUCCACACUUGUCAUUUCUUACACCUUCAAACUCGUUUCUUACAGCAAAUCCGCCUAUCGUUUACUUCAUUAAUUGAUGGCUUGAAGAUUUUAUAUAAUGAUAAGCUGAAACCACUGGAAAUUACUUCUGGGUUUAAUUUUUUCGACUCUUCUUUUCUGUCUGGACCAGCUGAUAGGACAAUUCCCGGACACACGGUUGCGGUGCAGACGGACCUACCAUUUACUGGUUUGACGAGCUUUGUUGUUAGAGAACAUGACCUUCGUGGACACGCCUGGCGUAGUUUGCGGAGAAAAUCAACCAGGAAAUUACGACUUUACUAGGGUAAUAUCCUGGUUCGCUGCGAAAUGUGACAUCAUUCUUCUCCUAUUUGAUCCCCAGAAGCUUGACAUCAGCGACGAGUUCGAACAGAUUAUCUAAUCUCUACAAGGCUAUGAAGACAAAAUACGAGUUAUCUUGAACAAAGCCAAUCAAGUGGAUAAUAAACAGCUGAGGUGAGGAAAGUUUAUGGUGCACUGAUGUGGUCACUGGGCAAAGUUCUGAGCACUCCAAAGGCACCACGUGUCUAUAUUGGGUCAUUUGAUGACAAGCCCGAGCAUGAAGCAGCUAUAGGAAAUGAUUUUGAACAAGAGCAAGAUGACCUUCUUCUAGACUUGGAAGACGUACCAAAGAAGGCAUGUGAUCGUAAGGUAUGCAAAAUAUUUAUUUGGUUACUACGAGUGAUGUAAAUCUAAUGC